UAGCUGGUUCUCCCCGAAAGCUAUUUAGGUAGCGCCUCGUGAACUCAUCUUCGGGGGUAGAGCACUGUUUCGGCUAGGGGGUCAUCCCGACUUACCACCCCGAUGCAAACUACGAAUACCGAAGAAUGUUAUCACGGGAGACACACGGCGGGUGCUAACGUCCGUCGUGAAGAGGGAAACAACCCAGACCGCCAGCUAAGGUCCCAAAGUCAUGGUUAAGUGGGAAACGAUGUGGGAAGGCACAGACAGCCAGGAUGUUGGCUUAGAAGCAGCCAUCAUUUAAAGAAAGCGUAAUAGCUCACUGGUCGACUCACCCUGCCCCGA
rnacentral:rRNA from 1 species